rnacentral:tRNA from 1 species
GGGCCUAUAGCUCAGCUGGGGAGAGCGUACGGUUCGCAUCCGUAAGGUCGUCGGUUCGAUCCCGAUUAGGUCCACCA